rnacentral:rRNA from 2 species
UACCCGCUGAGUUUAAGCAUAUCAA